GAUUUCUGCUUUAGUGGAGCCAGUCUACAUUUGUGGAGUAUAUCAACUUGUUAUUACGUGUUGUUCCCUCAGUACACAUGUAACCUGCUAUUCUCAUUAGAGUCAACCUGCAUCAAUUAGGUUUCUCGUGACGCAGUGCGUCUGAUGUCAUGACGUCUCCGCCUUCUCCAGAAUUUUCUACCUGCGGUUGAGACCACCAUUUUGAGAGGCACUUGGCUGCAGGCAGGACCUCGUGAACAAUUUGGUCAAUAAGGACUUUGGGUAGCGCUUCCUUUCCUUCCUGUCAACCUCUCCAGAGGGGUGUCUGCUGAUGGCAGAAAGAUUACAUCACCUCUGGUUGGAACCCUGGACAGUGCCACAACCUUUGGCUUGGUGUCCAAUGUGAUGCCCCAUCGCCACCUUCUGACCUAACUUCUUCUCAGCUCUGUGACUACUUCAAGAGGGGCAUUCCUGUGUGGAGGCGUGCCAGGCAGCUCGUUUUACCUGUGAACUUGCGUACUUUCACUUCAUCAACAACAAAGUGCUAUGCUUCAUGUGGAGAUGCAAGGACUGUGGGACAACAUUAACAAAAAGAUCUGAAUUGCUCAAACACUACAAACUGAUUCAUAGGCAUUACGGACGAGGCCACUCAUAUCCAUGCACUUAUUUAAAUUGUGCAUGUAGGUUCAAGACUUGGAACGCCCUACUGAGCCAUCUAUCAAGAAAUCACCCUGCCCAACAAGCAGUC